CAUUUCACCGCAAACCCUCGACUUCUUGGUCUGCAUCUUCUUUUUUUCUCUGGAUUUUUUGGGGGUUUGAGGUGGAGCGGAGGACGAGAGAUGAAUUUUAAGAACGCCAAGGUUCCGAAUAUCUCCGGUGCCGGCUCGGCGGCGACGCUCAUCAAGGUGGCGCUCGUCGGGGGCACCGGCGUCAUCCUUAGUUCUUCACUAUUUCCGUCCUCCUUAGUUCUUCACUUCUUCCGUCCUUCGCCCGUUCGCUAUCAGCCCGUCCUCGGGUCUCACAAUCUCACUUCGCCCGUUUGCCAGUUGCCACUCGCCGUCCUCCCCGUCGGUACUCGGCCGAAGAGAGAGACGAGGGAUCAGGAAGGCGGCGUCGCCGGCGUCAUGGCGUGACGGCGUCUCUUCUCCUUUUCGGCCCUCCGCCCUUUCCAGCCUCCAGGUGGCAGGUGCUCUUCAGAUAUUUCUCUGUAAAGACUUCGGUACAUGCUUUCCUCAUUGUGCUACAUUAACUCAAGUUCCUUAUUAACUUGUUUCGUGUUUAUGAAGCUCAAGGUUUUUUUUUUUUUUUUGGAAUUUCAUAUUCAUGUACUGGUGGUAUCAGAAUGCCUGUUGGUCUCUUUUUAGAUUCAUAAUUUUCCUCCAAUCCGCUGUACCUUCUGUUGCAACUUGAUGGUUUCCUGGAUUUCAUAACAAUGUGCAUUGAUGAUUUAUAUGCUUCAGAUUUGCAAAACCAACGCUUAUUGAAUUAUUAUUUGGGUGUCAGAUGUGCAGGGAAGACUUCUUUCUGAAACAGCCAAAUAACUAAACGAUCACCUUGAAUCAUAACGCUUCACCUAACACUCUAUAAAUGUCAAGGGAUCUUGAUUUGGAGCUUGUUAUCUGUUAAGUUGUUAUCCCCGUUUAGUAGUUUUGAUGGCACGCCAUCUGUUUGAUAGUUUGACUGGGAGGACUUGAAGCUUGUUAUCUGUUAAGCUGUUAUCCCCGUUUAGUAGUUUUGAUGGCACGCCAUCUGUUUGACAGUUUGACUGUGAGAAUUUGGAGCUUGUUAUCUGUUAAGCUGUUAUCCCCGUUUAGUAGUUUUGAUGGCACGCCAUCGGUUUGACUGUUUGACUGUGAGGAUUUGGAGCUUGUAUGAACAUGUGAAUGUGAUGUUAUCCUUGCUGUUCUUUAUGAACCAAAAAAUAGAAUUCUAGCUUUGGAGAAAGUAAAGAGCUUCUUAGGUUCUGAUGUUGUUUUUUCGUCAUAAUAUAAAUUGCUACUGCCACUCAGGCAAUACUAAUACAUAUCCAACAAGAAGGGCCUUGCUGAUUCAGAAGCUAGCUAAAGCUCCCAAACUUCGUAAUUACUUUAGAUUUCACUUAGAAAGUAGGAUUCUAAUCUUCAUCCACACAUAAAUAGCUUCAGCCAUUAUUUGACACUAUGAUUAUUGUCAUAUAGCUUCAGCCAAUCUGUUUUUCAUCCCCUUCCAUGGAGCUCAAUUUCCCACUUCUUUUAUUUGACUUUCCCACCUCGUAGGUAAUAAGUAACACCCCUAUGCAGUUUUGAGUUUUUGAUAUGGAAAAAGGAAGCAAGACAAAUGCAUGCAUCAUCUUUUUAAAAGAUGGGGAUGUAUUUAUUGUCACAACAAUAACAAUGAUGACGAUGAUGAUUUACAAGAGUAUACAAUUAUUAAUCAAUAACAUCAUCUUCCUUUUUUUGGCUGAAUGAAAUUUUGAUGAUUGAUGAACAAACAUGGAGUGAUAUUUAUGCUUUUUUUUUCCAUUGAUUACCAUGCAUCUUUACUUUUCUUUUGUUCCUUUUUUGCAUAUUGGAACCAGAAAGGGAACAAUCGAGCCAAGUAGCGAACACCAGUAGCAGAAGAGUGAAGUAGGUAGAGAUGGAGGAAGAGAGCAAGAAGCACUUCAUCCUUGUUCAUGGGAUGUACCACGGUGCAUGGUGCUGGUACAAGCUCGCCACCUUGCUAAGGUCGGCUGGCCAAAGAUCUCUUUUCGGUUCUCAUUUGGAACCAGGGAUGCAAAGUUGUAGGAGCUCCAAUAUCUUAUAUUGCUAGAAAAUAAAAAAUAAUGUCUAUAUUUACACAAUAAAAACAGAUUGGCUCCCUCACUUUUUUUUUUGUUCAAAACGGUAUUUCAUUCAUAUACCUCUAACGUGAAUACAACCAGACAUAUCAAAGAAAAGUAAGCAAAAUAAGGCGUGUGGAACGCCAUCCAAACUAGACCAGAAGACCUCCCCGGUAUGCCGGGCAACAUAGGAGGCGACCCAAUCUGCUGCCCUGUUCGCCUCUCGGUAAACAUGGACAACCUGACAGGAAAUCAGCUCCCGCACCAAGCUCCGGGUAUCCUGUAUCAGAGGGUGGCCGUCACCGUAUAUGUCUACACCACGUAUCCAGUCAAUCACCAUAGAACAGUCACCCUCGAGAACGAGUCUCUCUGCCCCCAGAACUCGUCUCGCAAACCAAACACCCUCCCAAGCAGCCUGCAGCUUUGCUCCCACCGCCGAACCGCCGAGAGUGCUCCGUCCCCCAGCAGCAAUAAAAGUGCCCCGAUGGUCCCUGAUAACAAAACCCACGCCCCCAGAGGUGCCAUCCUCCGCCGAGCCACCAUCGAAGUUCACCUUAAGAUAACCAGGAGAUGGGGGUACCCAAGAGAAGUAACUGAACCUGGACGCUGAAACAGCAGUGCAGGUACCCCAGAUAUCCCUAGUUCUCCCAGGUAGCGCCGACGUGGUCAUCAUAGAUGUCUCAGCUGCCUGCCUCAGAACUCUCUCCAUCACAGCCCGUGGGGUCGACCGCCCACCCUCGAAUAGACGAUCAUUCCUGGCUAGCCAUAUGUGAUAGGCUAGGUAAGCCACAAUAGAACCUGUCUCAGCAUCCCUCGGCCUCCGAAUAGACUCACUCAGGAACCGGAGCAUAUCCUCCACCGACUCCCAUGUAGGUGGCAGUAGCGCCGAGGCCAAUCUCCAACACUGCAUAGCUGCAGGACAUCGAAGGAGUACGUGGCCGACCGUCUCCUCAGCAUCUAGAUAUACCUCGCAUAGUGAGCCCAUCCUCAUCCCCCGCCGGGCCAAUACACUCCUGGUCGGAAGGCAGCCCCAGGCUACCUUCCAAAGAAAAAGCGCCACCCGGGGAUGCACCCUCAUCCUCUAUAUCCAUCCACCAUCAAUCCGUCUCUCCGGCUCCCGCCUAGUCCACGCAUGAAUAUCCCUGGCACGUACCCGCGAUCGGCCUGUCGGUAACUAGACCAGUCUAUCAGGCUCCGCCCGGGACGGGAUCGGUAAUGCCAGAAUCCUCUCCACAAGCUGCUCCCCAAAUGUCUCCCGAAUGAACACCUCAUCCCAGCUCCCCUCCUCCGGUACUAGCAGAUCACCAACACGACAUCCCAGCAGCCUGCUCGUAUCCACCGUGACCGGUAGCCUGCUAAUCGGUAACUCAGUCACCCAGCUAUCCUCAAGAACAUCCACCGACAUACCAUCCCCGACAGCCCACCGGAUGGCCGGAAGUACUGACGAAGCCCUAACACUGAUCUCCCUCCAGAUAGGGGAAUGGAGCCGCCCCGCCCUAAUGCCAACCGUCAAUGCCCCGUACUUAGCCCUCAUCAGUGAGGACCAUAAACUCUCAGGCUCCAACAAGAGGCUAGCUGCUAGCCGCAAAAUUGAUGCCUCCCGUCGCGCCACCAAUGACGGCACACCCAAGCCACCAAGUCUGACCGGCUGACAGACCACCUCCCAAGCCACUAGAUGUACUCUGCCUCUGUCACCACGCCUCCCCCAGAUAAAGUCCCUGAUAAGCCACUCAACUGACCUCAGUGAAGCGACGGGAGGGACAGUGUGGGAUACAAAUAUACCGGAAUAGCACUAAGAACUGACCGUGCCAAUGUGACUCUGCCCAUCAUGGAUAGCGAAUGCAUCUGCCACCCCUCCAGCCUGUGCCUGAUACUAUGCUCAAGAGAGAUGGUAUCUCCACUACGCAUACGUCGCCCAAGUAUCGGCACACCCAGAUAUGUCAAGGUGCCCUCCUGCUCACCCACUCCCAAAGUCUCCAUGAUUCCGGCCUUUAUCUGAACCUUGGUCUUCGGACUGAAAAAAAUAGACGAUUUGUUCAAGUUGACCCGUUGUCCAGAAGCCGAGCAAUAGGCAUAGAGGGUCCUCCGGAUCACAUGGGCAUUCUGCCUGGUCGCCCUAGCCAACAGCAAGCAGUCAUCAGCAAAGAGUAGAUGGAAGAUCGGCACAGCCCCCUACGCUGGCCUAUAAACCUCCAGAGUCUGUGUGUCCACUGCUACUCGAAGAGCUCUGGAUAAUGCAUCUGCACAGAUAAUGAAAAGCAAGGGAGACAACGGACACCCCUGGCGAAGUCCAACAGAUGUAUCAAAGAAGUGUGAAGGUGUGCCAUUUACCAGAAUGGAGAAGGAUGGCCCCAUCACACAGCCCAUGACCCACCUGAUCCACACCUCAUGGAAACCAAAACUCUGUAAGGAAUGUCGAAGAAACUCCCAGCACAUCCUAUCGUAUGCCCUCUCCAUAUCAAGCUUGACCCCCAUAAGGCAGCGCCGCACAGGAGCCUUCACCAGAUCAAAUAUGAACUCCUGGGCAAUUAGGACAUUAUCUGAUAUGUUCCUCCCCCCAAUGAAAGCACCCUGCUCUGGACUGAUAAUUCUGGGUAAGAUCCCUCUCAUUCUAAUUGCCAAGAUCUUUGCCGUAAUCUUAUAUAAGGUAGAACAAAGGCUAAUCGGCCUAAAGUGGCCAGGCUCAGUAGCAUCCUGGCGCUUGGGGAUCAAUGUAAUAAAAGUCCUCUGCCACUCCGGGCUCAUCACCGCCGUGCUAAAAAACUGCUGAAUGGCCUCAAUAACAUCAAGGCCUACAAUCGACCAAUACCUACGGAAGAACACGGGCGGAAAGCCAUCCGGUCCGGGCGCCUUGUCCCCCUCCAGGGACCACACCGCCUCCUGAAUCUCCCGUCCCGAUACCGGCCUGAUCAGUGCUAAAGAGUCCUCAUCGGAAACCCCCUCAGGAGAUAAGGGUAGCUCAGUAUGUAUUCCACUCCCUGUCCGCUCCGUCCACCUAGUCCUGAAGAACUGCUCAAACACCCUGCAUAUCAUAUUCGGGUCCUCUAUGGACUGUCCAUCCUCGUCCCUGAUAGAUCUGAUCCUGUUCCGCUGUCUCCUGAUCAAUGUAGACUGAUGAAAGAACUUAGUGUUCCUGUCCCCUUCCUGAAUCCACUGUACUCUUGACUUCUGCCUCCAGAAGAUCUCCUGUUGGCUAAGGAGAGCAUCAUGCAUAGAUAGGAAGGACCUCAACUCCGACAACUCCACAUGUGAUAGUCCUCCUCCCGAGGCCUCUCGUAGUUGUAGAUUUGCAAUGGCCUCCUCUAACUCCUCAAUUCUUCGGAAUAUGUUCCCUACCUCCACCCUGUUCCACCUCCGAAGGUAUCUCCUAGCCAACUCAAGUCUGCGAGAAAUCCGAUACAUAGCAUCCCCCCGAACCGGCUUGUUCCAAGCCUCUCUCACAACCCCCCAAGACCGGGGGUAACACAACCAUAACCUCUCAAACCUGAAAGGACAAUGAAAAGGGAUGGGUCUGUCAGUACAUACCAGUAUCGGACUGUGAUCUGAAGCUAUCCUCGGUAGGUGUUUGACAUGAUGGUCUGAAAACUCCUGGAUCCAUCCCGCUGUGGCGAAGGCCCUGUCAAGUCUCUCCCAAACUCUAGUCGGACCCUGCUGAUUGUUGCACCAUGUGAAUCUAGGCCCUGUGAAGCCCAGAUCUAUCAGCCCAUUUGUAGAGAUAAACUCCUGAAAUUCCCUCACCUUCCUCUGAUAGGAAAAUUGCCUCCCUCCCAUCUUCUCCUGUGGAUCAUCUAUACAAUUAAAAUCUCCUGCAAUCAACAUCGGCUGCCCCUGAUCAACCAACUUGGAAGCCUCCUCCCACAGUGUCCUCCGAGCCCUGAAGUCGGUACUAGCAUACACGGCUGCAAAUAUCCAUGGUCUCCCCUCCCCCUCAGAUAUCACCAUGAUCACUUCUUGGCUACUAACAUUAAAGAUGUCCAGCUUCCCACAAUCCAGUUUCCAAGUUACAAUGAUACCUCCCGACAACCCCUGAGAAUCCACAGCAUAGAAACCCCAGGACCGUGGCAGUGCCCUCCUGGCUCUUACAAUACUCCUCCCGGCCAACCGGGUCUCAAAUAAAACACAAAUGUCUGGGUUGUGCACCUGCACCAAUCUCCGAAACGCCGGGGCGAAAGAAGGUUUCCCGGCCCCCCGACAAUUCCAAAGGAUCAACUUCAUUGACAACCCAGUACGGUGGCUCGACUCUCCAUACCGGAGCCGACCCCAUUAUCCACAUUCAUCCCAUUGUCCACAUACCCUCCCACAUUGGAAACAGGCUCAAGGCUCCCCUUCUGCACAGCUGCCAAAGUUUGGGACAGAAGCUCACUGUGGCUUGGAUUACUAUUUCCCCGUGCCGAAUGGCACAAGGAAUCCACAGUAGCCCCGUCUCCCUCCCUGCCGCAGACUCCCUUCGUUUUCGCAUCUACCUCAGCUCGAGCGGGCGCUUCCAGACCUUCCGGCAACUGCACCACCCCCCUCGACGUCUCCGCCGCCUUCAUGACCGCCGGGAGAUCCCCGACUGAGGUGGCACGGGACAUCCUCCAGCCGACAGGACAACCACCGUUGGCUCCCCGCCCGCCGCCGGCCUUAGGUGGCCUGGAGCUCGACGAUGCCACCGGCGGAGGGGAGCUUCGGCUUCUCCGAUGCCCAACCGCCACCAACCUCCGGAAUCCCAUGGCCGGACGCACACCGCCGGCUGGACACGGAAAGUCGGCGAAGCUGCCUCUCUUUGACGGACUGCGGGCGCGUUUGAGCGGACUCAAACCCGGUCCACGACCCGCAUCCAUCUUAGGUAGAUCCCGGCCAAUCGCUAUUGGACCCAGCCCAGCGCCAGGCCCAGUAUCACCCGACCCACUCCUCGGGCUAGGCGGGCCAGAGCCCGGCCGCCUAUCCACAGUAGGAAUGGGCCGUGAGUCGUUGCCAGCCCAAUCUACCUUCGGCCGGCCCCUCUCAACCAAUAUCGAGUCACUGGUCGACUCGGACAGUGCCCCAAACGCCCCCCCGAGUUGACUCACCCCGCCUCCCGAGUGGCCAUUGGAACUUUCUCCUUUGCCCUGCUCCGGUGAUUUCCUCCGAGCUACCUUAGAUGGCUUCUGCCAGCCAUCCAGAUCCACAGGGGAGACAGAAGGAGUCGUCUCCCCAUCCACCGGAGGUGUCUUCGUCCGAGAAGGCGUGCCCACCGGUUUCGGACCACUCUCCGACGCCAUCGGCUUUCUCGACUUCACGUUCCCUCCACCGACCCUCAUUUGCCGAACCCUAUGGGUGACCAAACACGGCCCAUAACCUGGGUUCACCGGAGGACCGUUCCCACCGGCCCCUCCCUGUGAAGGGAUCUCCGAUGUACCGUUCGGCUCAUCCGUCACUGCCUCAGUACCCCCAUCCACUGGGACCUCGACCGGACUCGCCGCACAGAAGGCUUCUCCGUGCCCCACUCUACCGCAUCUGCAGCAUGGGUUUGGAAGGUUCUCAAAGAUGAAACCUUGCCAAACUCUCUCCUCCCGCCCCUGUGCCUUCCCCUUCACAAAGGUGCCGCCUCUCAGAGGGAAUCGGAGAUCCACCUCUAUCUUGACCCGUGCAAAACCCCGCUUCUUGCCCUGUUCUGUUGUCUCAUCCACCGCCAGCGGCUUGCCGGCCUUCGCCGCCAUCUGAAGGAUGAUGGACUCCUCCCAGUAAUCCAAUGGCAACCCGGGCAUUCGUAGCCAAACAGUCGCUUUGUUUAGCCCACCUGCACCGGGUGAAAAAUUUGGCCUCCACCGCUCCAUGGCAUGGAUCUGCCCUGCCACCAGCCAUGGCCCCCAGCUCAGAGCCUUCUCCCUGUGUUCCUCGCAGGAGAAACGAACCACGAAGAAGCCCUCCAACAACGGGAAGAUUUCGGGAAGAUCAUGUAACUUCAUGACUCGCCGAAGCUCUUUAACCACCCAUUCGGCUGGGAUGACUCUUCCCAGGCUUCGAAUCAACACCGCCGAGGCCUUCCAUGGCUUCCUGAUCUCUUCCAGCAUAUCAUCGUCAACCUCCACCUCGUCAUCGAAGCGUUUUUGCAUCGCCUCCAGCUCCCGAACUUUCAAGAGGUGGAAAUGCUCUCUUAAAAGGCUUGUUUGGUUUGCGGGAAGCAUUUUCCCAUAUAGAAAUAUGAUUCCUGGAAAAUAAAUUCCUAGAAAGAGGAUGCCUAGGAAAAUACUUUUGGCAUGUUUGGUUGACCAUAGGAAAGUGACAAAUUUCCAAAGUAUUUAUGUUUGGUUAGCCAUCCACUUUCCUAGAAAAGUUAUGUAUAAUUCCUAUUAUGCCCUUAAUAAAAAUUAGAUCUUUAAUGCAUCUUUAAUGCUUCUUUAAUGCUGAAGUUUUUUUGGGAAAAAACUAAAAAUGAAGUGAUUCCCGCCUCAUGGAAAAGUAACUUUUCCAUGUUUCUCACCAUGAAAUAUGGGAAUCAUAUUCCCAUGGGAAUACAACUUUUCCAUCUCUUUUCUUUCAAAACUCCAACCAAACAAGAGGCAUCUCAUUACUUUUCCGUUGACCAUACUUUCCCUCCUUUUCCCGCGAACCAAACGAGCCCUAAGAGUCAGCACUGCAAUUAUAGAGAUAAUGAUAUUGCUAUGAUGAAAUUUGAAUUGUAAGUGAUAAGAAAAGUGAAGAUGCUAUUUAGUUAAAAGAAAGACGAGCAAGGAUGUCUGAUCAAUAUUAUCAAAAAAUCAUCCAGAGUCAAAAGAAGGAAGCUGGUAGUCCCAUUUCAAUGAUUUACAACAGUAUACAAUCGAUCAUCUUUCUUUUUAGUUAAUCAAUGUUGUUAUAUUCCUUCUUUGGCUAAAGAAAAUCUUCUUUGAUGUGUAAAGAAAAUCAUAAUAUCUUUCAAUAUCGACAACUUCCUUCUAUGCUCACUUUUUAUAACUGACUAGAAUGCACACUUUCCAAAUUCCUUUUAUUCACAUAUGUCCCAAAGUUGUAAUAGGAGAUACAUACUGACAAAUAUUUCAUAAUAAAACGAACUUUUCAAAUUGGUAACAUAAAACUUUUCGAACUUAAUACUUUUUGCCAAAAUCUUAAUAAUUAAAACACUAUUCUCUACCCAACCAGAGCAUAGCAUAUUUACAAAGUCUCAGACCUACGGAGAUACAUAGACAAGAGUUUCAGACUUUUACUCUUAGUGAAACGUUCAGGAAACAACAACAUAAUAAACAGAACACUUUCAGUUGUGUCCCCUGUUUUGGCACGAGAUAACUGAAAAGUUUCGCAACGGCUUGAUGGCACUCUUUGGACUUUUCAUUACAGAUGACUUUCCAUUGAAAGAAGUAGAGAGCUUUGUGAAGGAUAGAAUUUAUGGCAGAUUUCUUCUGCAGAAAGUGCAAAUGUUGCGCUCUAACUAUGUAUGCCAACAAACGGCCAUGGUCAGUUGAUCCCAUCCCUUUCUCAAAUCUCUUUUGAUGUUUUUAAGUUCACCUAUGUUGUCUGUAGAUCUCUGACAUCUCUAUGUCAAUCUAGAAAGAUUGAGCAGUUAGUACUGAGUUGAUCGAAGUAAUUCCACCACCCAAGCUAAGGAUUUUACUCUUCCAAGAGGCCAAUCUAGAACUAAUUAUUUCGACCAAAUCCUUCUUGGAAGGCUUUUACCCUUUCAAGAAGAUGGUAGACGAUUUGAAUGCUGCCAAGUGUAUCAAAGAAAUCAUACUAAGCCUUGUUUGAACAUGAAUUCAUGUUAAAUAAAUUAGUUCUUGGUAUCCAAUAAAGCAGGAAAAUUAGACACAUAUUCCUCUUUAACUUAGUUAAGAAUAUUUAAUCAUCUAAUCAGUUUAUUUCUAAUUUAAAGAGAAGGAGUACCUUAGUUUACUCAAGCAUAUAUUUCAGAUAGAAAUUUUUGUUUUGUAACUAAAAUUUUUUUACUUGUGAGGUGGCUUCACUAUGCACCAUGUUGAAAGAAAUGAAUGAUAGAAAUAUAGAUAGUGAGCAAUAUAUAGUAUAAACUAUAUAAUUUGUAAUUUUAAAUUGUUGAUUUUAAUCUAAAACUUUCAAAAUAUAUGCAAAUUAAAUUCCAUCUAGUUUGAGUGUUUCUAAACUAUAUAUCAAAUUGAAAUAUGAUAUCAUAGCAUUGAAAACUGGUUAAUUUUAAUUUUAUUUGAUGCAUAGAUAAAGACAAAGAAUACAUGAUUUUUGGUUUUAGCCAAUCUUCAUAUCAUAUAUUAUAAUGAGUGAUGUUGAUUUUCAUAUUGCCAGUUUAUUCAUAAUUUUUUUUCUGGAAGUAUUUGAAACCAAAUGCGCUUUAAGCAUCCCAUACUAACUCUCUUUAUAUAUACAAAAUGUUUCUUAUUUCUUGAAUUAGAUAGUUGUUUUAGGCAUCAUUUUACAUUUGUUCACGUUUCCUGCAUAGUUUUCCUUUUAUGGCAAUUAUGAUAUAUUCUUUUUUAAGAACUUAAGGGGAGAAGUUAUUAUAUGCACCGCAUGAAUGGCCACAGGUUUAUGCCACCAAUUACUAAGACACGUAUGAGUUCCAUUUAUCGUGCGUUCGUCUCAUUGAUCUCCCACCGUAGUACACCAUGGCAAUUGGUGGCAUACACCAGUAUGGCCGUGCAUGCAAUGCAUGCAAUAAUUUUUGAUUUGAGGGACCAUUUAAAGUACAAAGCGUAGUCACUAUAUGGUAAGUAUAAGAACAUUUCUAAUGUAUUUGUAGGGACCAUGAAAGAUGAUCUUAAAUUGAUUAUUCUUGCUUUUGUGGAAUGAUACCAGUGGAGUACUUUGGAACAGUGAGGUACAAAUGCCAAAGGCUUUUCAAGACAUAUUGUUUUCUAAUUUUUUUUGAAUGUAUUCACACCAGAGUGGCAUAACACACCUGUUUUAGCAAAAAAUAAUAAUAAUACACUAAAAACAAGAAUCCAUCUAAUUUCCUAAUGUUAGUUAUCUAGAAAUCAAGUUUCUACUACAGUAAUUGAACGGUACGAGACAUACUGUACCAUAUCAAUUUGGU
rnacentral:lncRNA from 1 species